rnacentral:rRNA from 1 species
GAUGAACGCUGGCGGCGUGCCUAAUACAUGCAAGUCGAGCGAACGGACGAGAAGCUUGCUUCUCUGAUGUUAGCGGCGGACGGGUGAGUAACACGUGGAUAACCUACCUAUAAGACCGGGAUAACUUCGGGAAACCGGAGCUAAUACCGGAUAAUAUUUUGAACCGCAUGGUUCAAAAGUGAAAGACGGUCUUGCUGUCACUUAUAGAUGGAUCCGCGCUGCAUUAGCUAGUUGGUAAGGUAACGGCUUACCAAGGCAACGAUGCAUAGCCGACCUGAUAGGGUGAUCGGCCACACUGGAACUGAGGCACGGUCCAGACUCCUACGGGAGGCAGCAGUAGGGAAUCUUCCGCAAUGGGCGAAAGCCUGACGGAGCAACGCCGCGUGAGUGAUGAAGGUCUUCGGAUCGUAAAACUCUGUUAUUAGGGAAGAACAUAUGUGUAAGUAACUGUGCACAUCUUGACGGUACCUAAUCAGAAAGCCACGGCUAACUACGUG